rnacentral:rRNA from 1 species
GACGAACGCUGGCGGCGUGCUUAACACAUGCAAGUCGAACGGAAAGGCCCUGCUUUUGUGGGGUGCUCGAGUGGCGAACGGGUGAGUAACACGUGAGUAACCUGCCCUUGACUUUGGGAUAACUUCAGGAAACUGGGGCUAAUACCGGAUAGGAGCUCCUGCUGCAUGGUGGGGGUUGGAAAGUUCGGCGGUUGGGGAUGGACUCGCGGCUUAUCAGCUUGUUGGUGGGGUAGUGGCUUACCAAGGCUUUGACGGGUAGCCGGCCUGAGAGGGUGACCGGCCACAUUGGGACUGAGAUACGGCCUAGACUCCUACGGGAGGCAGCAGUGGGGAAUAUUGCACAAUGGGCGGAAGCCUGAUGCAGCAACGCCGCGUGCGGGAUGACGGCCUUCGGGUUGUAAACCGCUUUCGCCUGUGACGAAGCGUGAGUGACGGUAAUGGGUAAAGAAGCACCGGCUAACUACGUG